CCAAUCUGCAAUUGUGUUAUCUUCACGCCUGCAGUAUCGGAUACUCAGAUGAGGAAAACGUGAGAUCAAAGCGGCGCUCUCCGCGAACAGCAUUCAACAAUCCCAUGGUGGCAAUCAGCGAGCAUUAAUGGCUUCGACGAGCACUAAACAAUCCGAUUCAACUUUGGGGAGAGAGCUGGUACAGUCCGAGAGAAUCCAUCAAUCAACUGUCCAGCAUGAUCUCUGCAAACGCACACCAUGGAUCCCCUUUUUGCUGUUAUGGGAAAAGCCCCAUCGAUGUUUACCUUUACAAUACCUGGAUUCGGGGGAGUCCACCGCCCAGAGUUUCAAAUCGACGUUUUCCUUGUUUCUGUUUCUAAUGUCGUUUGCUGAAAUCGAUGAUGAAGCUCUGCAUCUGUGAACGCCAGAUCUACAAGCUGUGCAGGCGUUAUUCGUUGGUUUCUGAAGAUUACAUGAUUUCUAGCUUUCCAUAUCUGCCAAAGGAGGGAUGCAAUUGUCUCCAGAUCAAGUACCGUAAUUCCACUUGCCAAUAUAUCUUCUAGCUAAGCAUCAAUACGAUUUGUAUUGGACACUGAGAUGUCAAGGUUGACUUUGGGAUGGGACCAGAUACUCUGAGUCCAUGGGCAGAGGAGAAAAAGGUGUUCUGUGGUUUCAGGGUGUUGAGCUGGGCAUAAUUGAUAGACCGGAUUAGGAAGAAUGUGUCGCCGGUAUAGGUUAUCCCUUGUAGCAAGCGCGUUGUGGUAGAGGGACCACAAGAAAAUUUGAAUUUUUGAGGAAGUCUUUGCAGUCCAUACUUGUCUCCAUAACCGGGAUGGUGUGUGAGAUGAUGUAGAUGCAAAGUUAGGAUCAUUAGGUGGGGUUGUAUGUUGAAGGUAGUGGUAGCUACUUUUCACCGUAGACUCUCUUGUUGGCGUGCCUGUCCAAAUAAUUUGAUCUGUAGUGGACAUUGGACCUAAGUGUAUAGCAGUAAUAUCUUCAACUUUUUGGUCAUCAAAACUUCUCCUGAGAAGAGGAACAUUCCAAGUAGACUGUUUUGAAUGUAAAAAAUCAGCCACCAUCUCUGGUUCCCCUCUAUUUGCAGGUCCCCCAAUGAUUCCUCUAAAUAACCAUUUGUCCUUUCUAAUGAAAAUAUUCUUCCCAUUACCUACAGACCAUUGGAGCUGAGGUAAAAUGGAAUCACGACCUAAGAGAAGGCUUUGCCAGCCCCAGGAUGGUCUAUGUCCUUUAGUCGCAUGCCAGAAGUCAGUAGAAUGAAAAUAUAGUCCUCUAAAUAGUCGGCUCCACAAGGAUGAUGGAUUUUGGAGAAGACGCCAUGCUUGUUUACCCAAAAGUGCUUUAUUGAAAGCAAGUAAAUCACGAAAACCAAGCCCCCCAUUUUCCUUACGCUCUUUAAGUAGGUCCCAACCCUUCUAAUGGAUUCCCGAUCUAGUACUAUGAUUUUGCCACCAAAACUUAGCUAUCUUCUGUUCAACGGAUUUGCAGAUAGAUACUAGAAUCUUAAAGAUUGACAUGGCGUACUGUGGGAGAGCCUGAACCACAGAUUUUAACAGAAAUUCCUUCCCACCUUUGGAUAUGAGGUUUUCUUUCCAACCCGCUAACUUUGCACUAACCUGCCCUAAGAUCCAAGCAAACAUUUCCCUUUUUAGACACCCCCCAAUCUGACGGUAUUCCUAAGUAUUUCCCGGUUUUUUCAAGCACGUGUACUCUCAAUUCUCUAGCUAGGUUCUGCUAUAGAGUUCUUGGACAAGCUUUACUAAGGAAGAGACCAAAUUUAUUUCUAUUUACAGCUUGGCCCGUAGCUAGACAGUAUUCUUGUAAGAUAUUCACUAAAUUUUAGCAUUCAAGGAGACAGACAUCUGAGAAAAAUAUUGCAUCGUCAGCAAAGAACAGAUGAGAGAAGGUAGAACAACACCUAUUGAAUUUUAUCCCUUUCAGAUUUCCCAUGUCGACUGCUUGCUUGAUGAUAAUAGAUAGGACAUUUGCUACAAGGAUGAAUAUAUAUGGAGAAAGGGGGUCUCCUUGUCGAAGCCCCCUUGUAGGAUAGAAGUAGGGUAAUGGCUCACCAUUUAAUUUGACACUUAAGGAUACUGUGGUUAUGCAUUGCAUUACCCAUUUAACCCAUGUAUUAUGAAAACCCAGUUGUCACAAAUAAGCCUCCAGAAAAUCCCACUCAACCCGAUCAUAUGCUUUCUUCAUAUCCAGCUUUAGUAUGGCCUGAAAAUGUUUCUUUCUUGACCUGAUUUUUAUCUGAUGCAAGAUCUCUUGGACUACCAAAAUGUUAUCUUGGAUUUGUCGACCAGUCACGAAGGCACUCUGUUCUUUGGAAAUCAACUCAGGAUAUGGAUCUGACGACGACUGUUGGAAAACGUCAAUUUACUUCACCUGUCAAGUGCCCGAGAAGUUACCUGAAGCUUGCGAGCUAAAGAGGAGUCCAGUAGCUGUUUAGAGGCCCAAGUCUCAGUGACAACCUUUCGGCAGUUCUGAUUUUGAAGCCAAAAAGCUUCGAAAGUGAAAACUUUGCACUUACUCGGUGGUUUGGGAUCAGUAUCUAGUUACAAUGGGCUGUGGUUAGAACCUAGAGUUGGUAAUGCAAAGACUUCGGUGGUCGGGUUAUUGGAGUAGCUGAGGUGACGCAUUUCAGCCUAAAGAUUAUGUCGUAGCUGAUAGACCACUGGCACAUGAAGACAGGUCAGAGGCCUCUUGAUCGAAUCCAAUCUACAAGUAUCGAAAUUGAUGGCAAAGUACGAUCCCUGGCUUCUCUUAUCUUCCCCUUGGUUAAUGACCUUUGAUCUCCGUGUGCAGGUGCUUUUCACUUGGACUAAAAUGUGGAGAUUGAAUUCAAUCUUCUGGAUGGGGCCGGUCAUCAAUAUACAAACUCCAAUUGCAAAAUGGAUGCGCCUUCUCUUCUCUGCUUGUGAGACUCUCCCUCAUCACUCACGGGGAGAUAUUGUUCUCAAGUCCUCUCACUAGUAACCCUAUUGCUCAUCUUAAAUAAUUCAUGUGUUUGCUUUUGUAGAAAAUCAACUUCCAUUUGUAGAGAGCAAGAAAGAGAGGUUUUGCUCCAAAUGAAACGGUUAAGGCCAAUCCUUUGUACUUGAUGCAGAACUAUUGAAUCGCUUUCAGAAUACCAGAACCAUGGAAAUUCAUAAGAAGUAAUUUGUUGGAAAUGCUUGAUGUUUCUUUUGUUGA